CGGGGGGAGCAAGCGUUGUUCGGAUUCACUGGGCGUAAAGGGCGCGUAGGCGGCCACCGCAAGUCGACUGUGAAAUCUCCGGGCUUAACCCGGAAAGGUCAGCCGAUACUGCGGGGCUAGAGUGCAGAAGGGGCAACUGGAAUUCUCGGUGUAGCGGUGAAAUGCGUAGAUAUCGAGAGGAACACCUGCGGCGAAGGCGGGUUGCUGGGCUGACACUGACGCUGAGGCGCGAAAGCUAGGGGAGCGAACGGGAUUAGAUACCCCGGUAGUCCUAGCCUUAAACGAUGAAUGCUUGGUGUCUGGGGUUUUAUAGUCCCCGGGUGCCGUCGCUAACGCUUUAAGCAUCCGCCUGGGGAGUACGGUCGCAAGACUG
rnacentral:rRNA from 1 species